UUAAGCGACUAAGCGUACACGGUGGAUGCCCUGGCAGUCAGAGGCGAUGAAGGACGUGCUAAUCUGCGAUAAGCGUCGGUAAGGUGAUAUGAACCGUUAUAACCGGCGAUUUCCGAAUGGGGAAACCCAGUGUGUUUCGACACACUAUCAUUAACUGAAUCCAUAGGUUAAUGAGGCGAACCGGGGGAACUGAAACAUCUAAGUACCCCGAGGAAAAGAAAUCAACCGAGAUUCCCCCAGUAGCGGCGAGCGAACGGGGAGGAGCCCAGAGUCUGAAUCAGUGUGUGUGUUAGUGGAAGCGUCUGGAAAGGCGCGCGAUACAGGGUGACAGCCCCGUACACAAAAAUGCACAUACUGUGAGCUCGAUGAGUAGGGCGGGACACGUGGUAUCCUGUCUGAAUAUGGGGGGACCAUCCUCCAAGGCUAAAUACUCCUGACUGACCGAUAGUGAACCAGUACCGUGAGGGAAAGGCGAAAAGAACCCCGGCGAGGGGAGUGAAAAAGAACCUGAAACCGUGUACGUACAAGCAGUGGGAGCCUCUUUUAUGGGGUGACUGCGUACCUUUUGUAUAAUGGGUCAGCGACUUAUAUUCUGUAGCAAGGUUAACCGAAUAGGGGAGCCGAAGGGAAACCGAGUCUUAACUGGGCGUUAAGUUGCAGGGUAUAGACCCGAAACCCGGUGAUCUAGCCAUGGGCAGGUUGAAGGUUGGGUAACACUAACUGGAGGACCGAACCGACUAAUGUUGAAAAAUUAGCGGAUGACUUGUGGCUGGGGGUGAAAGGCCAAUCAAACCGGGAGAUAGCUGGUUCUCCCCGAAAGCUAUUUAGGUAGCGCCUCGUGAAUUCAUCUCCGGGGGUAGAGCACUGUUUCGGCAAGGGGGUCAUCCCGACUUACCAACCCGAUGCAAACUGCGAAUACCGGAGAAUGUUAUCACGGGAGACACACGGCGGGUGCUAACGUCCGUCGUGAAGAGGGAAACAACCCAGACCGCCAGCUAAGGUCCCAAAGUCAUGGUUAAGUGGGAAACGAUGUGGGAAGGCCCAGACAGCCAGGAUGUUGGCUUAGAAGCAGCCAUCAUUUAAAGAAAGCGUAAUAGCUCACUGGUCGAGUCGGCCUGCGCGGAAGAUGUAACGGGGCUAAACCAUGCACCGAAGCUGCGGCAGCGACGCUUAUGCGUUGUUGGGUAGGGGAGCGUUCUGUAAGCCUGUGAAGGUGUGCUGUGAGGCAUGCUGGAGGUAUCAGAAGUGCGAAUGCUGACAUAAGUAACGAUAAAGCGGGUGAAAAGCCCGCUCGCCGGAAGACCAAGGGUUCCUGUCCAACGUUAAUCGGGGCAGGGUGAGUCGACCCCUAAGGCGAGGCCGAAAGGCGUAGUCGAUGGGAAACAGGUUAAUAUUCCUGUACUUGGUGUUACUGCGAAGGGGGGACGGAGAAGGCUAUGUUGGCCGGGCGACGGUUGUCCCGGUUUAAGCGUGUAGGCUGGUUUUCCAGGCAAAUCCGGAAAAUCAAGGCUGAGGCGUGAUGACGAGGCACUACGGUGCUGAAGCAACAAAUGCCCUGCUUCCAGGAAAAGCCUCUAAGCAUCAGGUAACAUCAAAUCGUACCCCAAACCGACACAGGUGGUCAGGUAGAGAAUACCAAGGCGCUUGAGAGAACUCGGGUGAAGGAACUAGGCAAAAUGGUGCCGUAACUUCGGGAGAAGGCACGCUGAUAUGUAGGUGAAGUCCCUUGCGGAUGGAGCUGAAAUCAGUCGAAGAUACCAGCUGGCUGCAACUGUUUAUUAAAAACACAGCACUGUGCAAACACGAAAGUGGACGUAUACGGUGUGACGCCUGCCCGGUGCCGGAAGGUUAAUUGAUGGGGUCAGCGCAAGCGAAGCUCUUGAUCGAAGCCCCGGUAAACGGCGGCCGUAACUAUAACGGUCCUAAGGUAGCGAAAUUCCUUGUCGGGUAAGUUCCGACCUGCACGAAUGGCGUAAUGAUGGCCAGGCUGUCUCCACCCGAGACUCAGUGAAAUUGAACUCGCUGUGAAGAUGCAGUGUACCCGCGGCAAGACGGAAAGACCCCGUGAACCUUUACUAUAGCUUGACACUGAACAUUGAGCCUUGAUGUGUAGGAUAGGUGGGAGGCUUAGAAGUGUGGACGCCAGUCUGCAUGGAGCCGACCUUGAAAUACCACCCUUUAAUGUUUGAUGUUCUAACGUUGGCCCCUAAUCGGGGUUGCGGACAGUGUCUGGUGGGUAGUUUGACUGGGGCGGUCUCCUCCUAAAGAGUAACGGAGGAGCACGAAGGUUGGCUAAUCCUGGUCGGACAUCAGGAGGUUAGUGCAAUGGCAUAAGCCAGCUUGACUGCGAGCGUGACGGCGCGAGCAGGUGCGAAAGCAGGUCAUAGUGAUCCGGUGGUUCUGAAUGGAAGGGCCAUCGCUCAACGGAUAAAAGGUACUCCGGGGAUAACAGGCUGAUACCGCCCAAGAGUUCAUAUCGACGGCGGUGUUUGGCACCUCGAUGUCGGCUCAUCACAUCCUGGGGCUGAAGUAGGUCCCAAGGGUAUGGCUGUUCGCCAUUUAAAGUGGUACGCGAGCUGGGUUUAGAACGUCGUGAGACAGUUCGGUCCCUAUCUGCCGUGGGCGCUGGAGAACUGAGGGGGGCUGCUCCUAGUACGAGAGGACCGGAGUGGACGCAUCACUGGUGUUCGGGUUGUCAUGCCAAUGGCACUGCCCGGUAGCUAAAUGCGGAAGAGAUAAGUGCUGAAAGCAUCUAAGCACGAAACUUGCCCCGAGAUGAGUUCUCCCUGACUCCUUGAGAGUCCUGAAGGAACGUUGAAGACGACGACGUUGAUAGGCCGGGUGUGUAAGCGCAGCGAUGCGUUGAGCUAACCGGUACUAAUGAACCGUGAGGCUUAACCUU
rnacentral:rRNA from 1 species